UCUCUUUUAACUCUUUCAGUGAAUUGAAUUUCCGGCAUGAAACAGCGAAUUUCAGGUGUUUUUGACCCAGAAUUUCAACAAAUUCUUAAUUAUAUGAGCUUGCACAAAUCCUCUUCGUUUGUUGCUUUGUUUAGAAGCAUUUUAGCUCCAUCGAGACUUUGCGCUUUAAUACAGAAAAUGAUUAGUAAUAUGCUAAAGUAUGUUUGUUGGGAUCCGUUCUUCUAAAUUGUAGGAAGUGGUGAAGGGAACAUAUAUUAUCAUCAAGUUUCUAGAUGUCCAGUUUAGUUUCAGGAGGCUGAUCUUGUAUUGGCGAUGUGCAGUUACUUCAGUCCUUUGAUGAAAUCGAUUACAAACAGAGGCCAAACUGAUUGUGCCAUGAAUGAGGAAGACCUUGAAGAGAAAGAUGAUCUUUCGACUCGAGAGUCUCGAUUCUUGUAUCCAACAGCUGAUACUCGGUCGACAUUAAGGGGUUGGAGACCAUCUUAUAGAGAUGCAUUGCUUUCAGUGAGAAAAAAAGUUAAACGUUCCUUGCUCAACCAAGUUGUCAUCUGGAGACCUUGAAGCAGAAAUCUUUCUUCAUUUGUUCCUGCAAGGUACUUCCCCUAAGCCUGUGGGUUAGGUAAAAAUUUUAUAUUCUUGAUUUGCUCAUCUAAAAUUUAGAUGUGUCGCUAUAUCUGAAGUUUCAUACAUGAAUCAAGUGCCUGUGUAAGUUGGUAAGUCAGAAAACUUUGUCCUUGCCCAUGUAGUGAAGAAUCAUUAUGGCAUUCUAACCUUGAAGAUAGUCUACAAAUUGGACUCAAUCUGUGCAAAGUGAAACUUUAGCAGCUACAGAUGGAGCAUCUGACCUGCAAUCCUUGAUAUUUAAGGUAUCGGUUUUAUAAAUCUUUUCCCCUCAAGAAGCUUUCCUCUUGUGUCAGCUUGCUAGGACAUUAUCUGGGAAGGUGUUCCAACAAGCGGCCAACCAUUGAAUUAAAAAGGAAAUCAUCAAAAAGGGUCUUGCUGGUGCUGCUUUAAGGUAUCUGGGUUUCAGAAGCACGAUGACUUUGCUCGGCCCAAUGAACUAACAAAAGGUUUUGGGGAACAUUUCUAGCGGAUGUGGUGAUUCAGAUGAUGGGAACUGAUUAUGCUGUAAUAUUUAGAGCAAUCCUGAACUGGGUCUAAUUGGGCUUUUCCUUCGGGCUUCCCUUCAAAGUUUUUAAAACACGUCUGCUAGGGAUAGGUUUACACACAUUUAUAAAAAAUGUUUUGUUCCUCUCUUCAAUAGAUGUGUGGAUCUCACAAUACACUCCCUUUCGAGGCCCAGCGUUUACGUUGACACAUUAUCCAUUGUCUACCCCCUUUGAGGUUCAGCGUCUUCGCUAGC